CCUACGGGCGACAGCAGUGGGGGAUAGUGCACAAUGGGGGGAACCCUGAUGCAGCGACGCCGCGUGGGUGAAGAAGGGCCUCGGCGCGUAAAGCCCUGUCAGCAGGGAAGAAAAGGACGGUAGCUGAAGAAGAAGCCCCGGAUAACGACGGGCCAGCAGCCGCGGGAAUACGUAGGGGGCAAGCGUUAGCCGGAUUGACGGGGGGGAACGGGGGCGGAGCCGGCGUUGCAAGACAGGAGUGAACGCCCGGGGCCCAACCCCGGGACUGCUCUUGGAACUGCGUGGCUGGAGUGCAGGAGGGGCUGGCGGAAUUCCUGGUGUCGCUGUGAACUGCGUAGAUCUCUGGAGGAACACCGGUGGCGCCGGCGUCCUGCUGGCCUGCACCUGCCGUUGAGGCCC
rnacentral:rRNA from 1 species